rnacentral:rRNA from 1 species
AAUCCUACGGGGGGCAGCAGUGGGGAAUAUUGCGCAAUGGGGGCAACCUUGACGCAGCAACGCCGCGUGAUUGAAGACGGCCUUCGGGUUGUAAAGAUCUUUAAUCGGGGACGAAUUUUGACGGUACCCGAAGAAUAAGCUCCGGCUAACUACGUGCCAGCAGCCGCGGUAAUACGUGGGGAGCAAGCGUUAUCCGGAUUUACUGGGUGUAAAGGGCGUGCAGGCGGGCAUGCAAGCCAGAAGUGAAAUCUGGGGGCUUAACCCCCAAACUGCUUUUGGAACUGCGUGUCUUGAGGGAUGGAGGG